AGCAGACUCACUGGCCAGGGACUGUCCCUGUGCUUGCCUGGGAACCUCUUAGGCAUCUGUCACCAUGAGUCAUAUGAGUUGAGGGCUUGUCCCUGACUGGACUUCCCAGGAUUUUUUCUGUGGCCUGUUCUGAAGAAGAAAAUCCCAUCCCUACCCCUGCCUGGUCCAUCUGCAGCUGAAAUACUCCAGGGUGGAGCUUUCUGGUGUGAAUUUAAAUCCGAAAAGAUGCAAAAUGAAUCUGUAUCCACACACAGAGGCUCGCCACAGCCCCUUUCCACAAAUACUGGCAGGGAAAAUGAGCUUUGCUAUCUGUGACUCUCGGUUGGGGGGCCGAUUGCCUCCUCCAGAUAACAUUUGUCGACGCCCGGUUGGAGACAUUUUAGUUGUCACGACUGGGAAAUGCUGCUGGCAUCUGGUUGGUAGAACAGAGCCCAUCCCCCAGCCUUCCCCAAAGAGAAUUAGCUAUUCCAAAUGUUGGCACUCCCAGGUUGAGGAAUAGUAUUCCAGGUGUCCUGGACACUCCCUUGGGCCCAAGAGACUCUAAGCCUUGGUCUAACGCAGUACUGUCAAGUGACGAUGGCCUUGAUGGAGAGUCCCUAAGCUUUGCCCUUGACCCAGAACAUGAAGAGCUGGUGAUGAAGACAGGCAAAGGGUUGCGAGGUCUGUACCGCUGGCACAUGGUGUGUGUUCAUGAGGAUUUGAUGCUAUUGCGGCUUCUUUCCCCACAGCCGGAAGCUGAGUGAGCAGGCCAAGGGACAGGCCAGGGGUGCUUCCUCUACCCGCACCCCACCUGAGCGAGAAUCACCUGGAGGCAACAAUCAGCCACCAACCUAAUAUCUUGCUGGAGAAACGGCUCCAAGCAUAAGCCGUGAGGAGCUACAAAAGCCUGCUAACCAGCAACUGUGCCCUGUGGAACCCCAUCCAGACUUCACUGCCAGGAGACCUGCCAUCUUGGGGGACUUUGACAUCCCUACAUGAAGAAUCUUGAUUUCUCAUUACAGAAGCCAGAACACACAUUCCUUGUAGGUUGGGUUCAGACGCCAGCCACCAGUCACCAGCAUGCAAGCCGCGGCUCAAAGGCUGUGUACUGUGUUGAAAUGGUGUCUCCAGGACUUCCCUUUGCUGGCAUAGGUGGGAACAACCUCCCAGGUUCUGCUGAUGAUAGUGACUUGGACCGUAGAAUGGGUGUGCUGCCUACUGAGGAAGACACCUAUAAAUGCAAAUGCCAGCGUUAGCGCAACUUCAAAUUGUCUUUUUCACCCCCAACUAAAAUGUUAUAAAUGAA